AUACGGAGGGAGCAAGCGUUAUUCGGAAUCACUGGGCGUAAAGGACGCGUAGGCGGGUUUGUAAGUCAGGUGUGAAAUCCUACAGCUCAACUGUAGAACUGCACUUGAAACUACAGACCUAGAGUAUGGAAGGGGCAGAUGGAAUUAGUGGUGUAGGGGUAAAAUCCGUAGAUAUCACUAGGAAUACCGAAAUGCGAAGGCGAUCUGCUGGGACAUUACUGACGCUGAGGCGUGAAAGCGUGGGGAGCAAACAGGAUUAGAAACCCCGGUAGUCC
rnacentral:rRNA from 1 species